GCCUAGCUGGCUCAGUUGGUAUGGCAUGUGACUCUUGAUCUCACGGUCGUGAUUUCAAGCCCCAUGUUGGGUG
rnacentral:tRNA from 1 species